GACGAACGCUGGCGGCGUGCCUAAUACAUGCAAGUCGAACGCAGUGGGGACGGGUGAGUAACACGUGGGUAACCUCCCAUCAGAGGGGAUAACACUUGGAAACAGGUGCUAAACCGAUACUGAUGGAUGGACCAGCGGUGCAUUAGCUAGUUGGUGGGGUAACGGCUCACCAAGGCCACGAUGCAUAGCCGGCCUGAGAGGGUGAUCGGCCAAACUGGGACUGAGACACGGCCCAGACUCCUACGGUAGGCAGCAGUAGGGAAUCUUGGGCAAUGGACGAAAGUCUGACCGAGCAACGCCGCGUGGGUGAAGAAGGUUUUCGGGUCGUAAAACUCUGUUGUUAGAGAGGCGGUAUCUGACGAGAAAGCCACGGCUAACUACGUGCCAGCAGCCGCGGUAAUUC
rnacentral:rRNA from 1 species